rnacentral:rRNA from 1 species
UUAAGCGACUAAGCGUACACGGUGGAUGCCCUGGCAGUCAGAGGCGAUGAAGGACGUGCUAAUCUGCGAUAAGCGUCGGUAAGGUGAUAUGAACCGUUAUAACCGGCGAUUUCCGAAUGGGGAAACCCAGUGUGUUUCGACACACUAUCAUUAACUGAAUCCAUAGGUUAAUGAGGCGAACCGGGGGAACUGAAACAUCUAAGUACCCCGAGGAAAAGAAAUCAACCGAGAUUCCCCCAGUAGCGGCGAGCGAACGGGGAGCAGCCCAGAGCCUGAAUCAGUGUGUGUGUUAGUGGAAGCGUCUGGAAAGGCGCGCGAUACAGGGUGACAGCCCCGUACACAAAAAUGCACAUGCUGUGAGCUCGAUGAGUAGGGCGGGACACGUGGUAUCCUGUCUGAAUAUGGGGGGACCAUCCUCCAAGGCUAAAUACUCCUGACUGACCGAUAGUGAACCAGUACCGUGAGGGAAAGGCGAAAAGAACCCCGGCGAGGGGAGUGAAAAAGAACCUGAAACCGUGUACGUACAAGCAGUGGGAGCACGCUUAGGCGUGUGACUGCGUACCUUUUGUAUAAUGGGUCAGCGACUUAUAUUCUGUAGCAAGGUUAACCGAAUAGGGGAGCCGAAGGGAAACCGAGUCUUAACUGGGCGUUAAGUUGCAGGGUAUAGACCCGAAACCCGGUGAUCUAGCCAUGGGCAGGUUGAAGGUUGGGUAACACUAACUGGAGGACCGAACCGACUAAUGUUGAAAAAUUAGCGGAUGACUUGUGGCUGGGGGUGAAAGGCCAAUCAAACCGGGAGAUAGCUGGUUCUCCCCGAAAGCUAUUUAGGUAGCGCCUCGUGAAUUCAUCUCCGGGGGUAGAGCACUGUUUCGGCAAGGGGGUCAUCCCGACUUACCAACCCGAUGCAAACUGCGAAUACCGGAGAAUGUUAUCACGGGAGACACACGGCGGGUGCUAACGUCCGUCGUGAAGAGGGAAACAACCCAGACCGCCAGCUAAGGUCCCAAAGUCAUGGUUAAGUGGGAAACGAUGUGGGAAGGCCCAGACAGCCAGGAUGUUGGCUUAGAAGCAGCCAUCAUUUAAAGAAAGCGUAAUAGCUCACUGGUCGAGUCGGCCUGCGCGGAAGAUGUAACGGGGCUAAACCAUGCACCGAAGCUGCGGCAGCGACGCUGAUGCGUUGUUGGGUAGGGGAGCGUUCUGUAAGCCUGCGAAGGUGUGCUGUGAGGCAUGCUGGAGGUAUCAGAAGUGCGAAUGCUGACAUAAGUAACGAUAAAGCGGGUGAAAAGCCCGCUCGCCGGAAGACCAAGGGUUCCUGUCCAACGUUAAUCGGGGCAGGGUGAGUCGACCCCUAAGGCGAGGCCGAAAGGCGUAGUCGAUGGGAAACAGGUUAAUAUUCCUGUACUUGGUGUUACUGCGAAGGGGGGACGGAGAAGGCUAUGUUGGCCGGGCGACGGUUGUCCCGGUUUAAGCGUGUAGGCUGGUUUUCCAGGCAAAUCCGGAAAAUCAAGGCUGAGGCGUGAUGACGAGGCACUACGGUGCUGAAGCAACAAAUGCCCUGCUUCCAGGAAAAGCCUCUAAGCAUCAGGUAACAUCAAAUCGUACCCCAAACCGACACAGGUGGUCAGGUAGAGAAUACCAAGGCGCUUGAGAGAACUCGGGUGAAGGAACUAGGCAAAAUGGUGCCGUAACUUCGGGAGAAGGCACGCUGAUAUGUAGGUGAGGUCCCUCGCGGAUGGAGCUGAAAUCAGUCGAAGAUACCAGCUGGCUGCAACUGUUUAUUAAAAACACAGCACUGUGCAAACACGAAAGUGGACGUAUACGGUGUGACGCCUGCCCGGUGCCGGAAGGUUAAUUGAUGGGGUCAGCGCAAGCGAAGCUCUUGAUCGAAGCCCCGGUAAACGGCGGCCGUAACUAUAACGGUCCUAAGGUAGCGAAAUUCCUUGUCGGGUAAGUUCCGACCUGCACGAAUGGCGUAAUGAUGGCCAGGCUGUCUCCACCCGAGACUCAGUGAAAUUGAACUCGCUGUGAAGAUGCAGUGUACCCGCGGCAAGACGGAAAGACCCCGUGAACCUUUACUAUAGCUUGACACUGAACAUUGAGCCUUGAUGUGUAGGAUAGGUGGGAGGCUUGGAAGUGUGGACGCCAGUCUGCAUGGAGCCGACCUUGAAAUACCACCCUUUAAUGUUUGAUGUUCUAACGUUGACCCGUAAUCCGGGUUGCGGACAGUGUCUGGUGGGUAGUUUGACUGGGGCGGUCUCCUCCUAAAGAGUAACGGAGGAGCACGAAGGUUGGCUAAUCCUGGUCGGACAUCAGGAGGUUAGUGCAAUGGCAUAAGCCAGCUUGACUGCGAGCGUGACGGCGCGAGCAGGUGCGAAAGCAGGUCAUAGUGAUCCGGUGGUUCUGAAUGGAAGGGCCAUCGCUCAACGGAUAAAAGGUACUCCGGGGAUAACAGGCUGAUACCGCCCAAGAGUUCAUAUCGACGGCGGUGUUUGGCACCUCGAUGUCGGCUCAUCACAUCCUGGGGCUGAAGUAGGUCCCAAGGGUAUGGCUGUUCGCCAUUUAAAGUGGUACGCGAGCUGGGUUUAGAACGUCGUGAGACAGUUCGGUCCCUAUCUGCCGUGGGCGCUGGAGAACUGAGGGGGGCUGCUCCUAGUACGAGAGGACCGGAGUGGACGCAUCACUGGUGUUCGGGUUGUCAUGCCAAUGGCACUGCCCGGUAGCUAAAUGCGGAAGAGAUAAGUGCUGAAAGCAUCUAAGCACGAAACUUGCCCCGAGAUGAGUUCUCCCUGACCCUUUAAGGGUCCUGAAGGAACGUUGAAGACGACGACGUUGAUAGGCCGGGUGUGUAAGCGCAGCGAUGCGUUGAGCUAACCGGUACUAAUGAACCGUGAGGCUUAACCUU